rnacentral:lncRNA from 1 species
AAAUUUUCGAAUCGAUGAUCGGCUCCGUUAGACUUGAUCUAGGGUAUAUGAAGUUUCUAGAAAAUAAUUUUUGCGAUUUUUUGAUAUCAUUUAUCUAGUGAUCGAAAGAAUUCAAAAUCCAUAAUUUUUAAUGAUUGAUAUCUGCCGUUUUCAAGUUUAACGGUGUAAAAGUAUUCAAAUCAGAUGAAAUUUUGAUAUAAAAUUUUUUAUACUAUUUACAACAAGAUCAAUAUUUCUGAUCGAAAAAUUUAGUGCUAUAUCACCACUUUUUAUAGAAUUUUUAUUUUCAGCCGUUAAAAAUUAUUGAUUUUGAAUCCUUUCGAUUGCUAGAUAAAUGAUAUCGAAAAAUCACAAAAAUUAUUUUUUAGAAACUUCAAAUACGCUAGAUCAUGUCUAACGGAGCCGAUCAUCGAUUCGGAAAUUCCAUCAUAAAAAACGGCUCAAGAGCACGGAGGCCUCUGUGCUCCUGAGAGCACAGGAGUCCUGCUCUAUAUAUAUAUAUAGAGUUGAGCUAGAAUACUCUCAAAAGCACCAUGGGGGUGGUGCUUUUGAGUUUUUAGCCAUUGGAUGGAGAGAUGUGAGGUUGAGAUGAUGGUGGUAGGUGGUGGUAGGUGGUGGUAGGUGGAAUAGUGUUUGAUCCAAGGGCUAUUAGUAAUCAACAAGUAGAUUCAAUAGCUAAAAACCUAAUAGCACCAUGGGGNUCCCGCGUGUCAUUUCCGCCGACCCCAGUCGUCCCUAUGGGUUGCCGGCCGCCGCCUUGCUUCGUGCGGCUGCCCAGCACAGAUUCGGGCCGAGGCCUGCGCAGCCUCUGGUCCUCGCAUCACCGUUGCCUUCGAGCACCUAGGCCGCCCUCCCUCGGCCUCAGGUGACAUGCCGCCGUCGCCCCGGUGCACCUCUGGCCACCGCAGGGCCGCCGCUGCUUCCCUGGGCCCGAGCCAAGCCCGUGCGGGCUCGGGUUGCUCCUGAGCCGCCGUCAUCGCCCUCCGUCGCCGACCGACCUGAGCGCCGGCCUCUUCUGGUCGGCUUCACCCGUCCGCCGCCGGCUAACCCGCCGCCAGAGCUCCCUAUCAACCGAGGUGAGCCCAUGCUCUCCUCGGGUUGUACAGCUAGGGCAUCGUUGCCCGCCGUCGUCGUCGCCGCCUCCCGUCGCCUACUGACGCGAGCCCCGGCCCCCUCUGACCUGGCGCAGCUGCCGCUGGCCGGCCUCCCCGCAUUCCGGCUGCCGCCGGCCACCCUCGAGUCAUGUCUUGCUCCGGUCCAGUUGACGUUCUUUUGCAGUCAGGAGACAGGCGCAAUAUCCUUACAGGUGGGUACUUCGAUCCGACGUUGGUACAGUGGUGCACGCUCGGUGAUGGUUUCUUACCCUUGCUCUUUUGUUAUUAUCCAUGCAUAUACUAUAUGUUGAGCUUUGCAUCUCUAUUGUUCCAUUAUACUCUACUCAGAUGAUUCCAUGCUUAGUAUCACGUGUAGGAGUAGAGUAGUUUAUCGAUAUGUGAUACCUAUGACUCGAUUGGUCAAUUCUCAUUUUUCAUAUUCUGACCUAGUUGGUCGGUUCCGGUAUCUAGUACUGUGAUCUGUUCAGUUGGUUUCUUGACUUCUGUGGUUCGAUGACCGUUGAGGUUGGUAUACCCUGAGGGGUGGGAUUGUCGAUUAGUUGCCGACGGAUGAUUAUAGUUUACUCAUAUCCAUCGUUUGACGUGUCUGUGACCUAGUCGGUCAGUGCAUUGUAUCUGUUUUCAUGACCUGAUUGGUCGGUGGUUGUAUCUCGUAUUGGUUCCUUGACUUCUGUCGUUGAUGACCUGUGAGGUCGGUGUAUCCUGAGGGGUAAGAUUGUCAGCUAGUGGCUGACAGUAGUUCCAGAUUAUAGUGAUAUAUUCCGGUGACUUAUUGGUUGAUUCUUGCAUCUAUACUUUAGUUGACCCAUCGAGCAGUAUUUCCAUACCUUUGAGAGGAUGCUGAGUCGUUCCAUCCUAGUUGACCUGAGUGGUCGGUUCUUGUACUUCCUUACAGUUGGAUGACCUUUUGGUCGGUUAGCCCCGAGGGGCGGUGAUUGUCGGCUGGUUGCUUACGGUUGGCUAUUGAUCAUAUCCGCAUUGAUCGCCACAGCUCGAGUGCAUUUCACGUACACCAGCGGGUUGAUCCCCCGCAGGAGGGUGUUCUUUUCCGAAAAAGUGGUCGUACAUCCGACCCGUGAGCCCAGCGGUGUUCACUUUGUGCUGGGGUUACAUGCCAGAUGUGAGCAUGUAGUGGCUUUUGCCUGAGGUCCUUAGACCGACACGGCGGUUUCGAUUGGGUAUAUUUGGACUUCUUGUCCGGUUGACGCAUAUAGCUAUAGUAGCGAUUGUUGCUUAUAUACCUUCAAUUCUUUCGUUACAUUGUCUUGCUACUAUAGUUUCGUUGCAUGUAUACUUUCAGUUGUUCAUUACAGUAGCGGUAGUUGUACUUUCUUUCAUAUAUAUAUAUAUAUAUCUUUCGUUUAUUAUUGUUGCUACUGUAUUUACACUGACCGUAUUGUUGUUUAGCUCUUCCUGAUCCGAUGAGUACUCCUCGCCUUCAUCGGCUUGCGGCACCCACUGGGGGGGGACAUGUUUACUUAUUCUCAUAUCCCCACCAUUUUUCAGGUAUUGCAGGCGAUGAGUAUUGGACGAGACGUUAGGUACGUCGUAGCGGUCGAUAGAAGCUUCGACCCAGGUUAUUCGGUUUAGUUUCUUCCUUACUAUUCUAUUGAUACAGCUUAGACAGUUUAUUUAUGGUUCAGUAUUUUAUACAACUGAAUAUUGAGAUUUCAGUGGUUUUAUGAAUGAAUAAAGAAUUAUGGUCGGUUUUCAUAAAAUGGAAAGGUUUUCUACCCUCGUGGUAGUGUGUUUUAAAAAGAAAAGGUUUCCGUGUGGGAAACAGCCUUUCAAAAGAGUUUUCUCGUGUUUUCUUGAUUAGUAUUUCAAAAUAAAUUUCCGGGUAGGAAACGUUCAACUGAUAGUUGUGGAUUAUAUUCAGAUCUCUGUUUAUGAACCUGUGGUGAAUGGUAUAUAGAUAUUGAAUGUAUGGCGACUUGUAUAUUCAUUUAGUGGUGGGUUGUAUCCUGGUUUAUCCUCUUGUACUUGUGUGACGCCGGUGCAAAUCAGGGAAGCUCUGUCCGUGUGAACAUGGAUUUCUGUAUUUGUGGCGGAUCUGGCAUACCCUGGGGUCAGAGUUUUCAAAAAAAAAAAAUUCCGCUGUGGUUUUAACCUAAAAGGGGACCCCGGGGCGUGACAUCCGUGCUCCUGAGCGUUUUCAAUGAUGAAAUUUUCGAAUCGAUGAUCGCUCCGUAUGACUUGAAUCUAGGGGUAUAUGAAGUUUCUAGAAAAUAAUUUUUGCGAUUUUUUGAUAUCAUUAUUCUAGUGAUCGGAAAGAAUUCAAAUCCAUAAUUUUUAAUGAUUGAUAUCUGCCGUUUUCAAGUUUAACGGUGUAAAAGUAUUCAAAUCAGGUAUGAAAUUUUGAUAUAAAUUUUUUAUACUAUUUACAAACAGAUCAAUAUUUCUGAUCGAAAAAUUUUUGUGUAUAUCCCACUUUUUAUAGAAUUUUUAUUUUCAGCCGUUAUAAAAAUUAUUGAUUUUUGAAAUCCUUUCGAUUGCUAGAUAAAUGAUAUCGAAAAAUCACAAUAAUUAUUUUUUAGAAACUUCAAAAUACGCUAGAUCAUGUCUAACGGAGCCGAUCAUGAUUCGGAAAUUCCAUCAUAAAAAACGCUCAAGAGCACCGAGGGCUCUGUGCUCCUGAGAGCACAAGGGUCCUGCUCUUAUAUAUAUAUAUAGAGUUGAGUGUAGAUACUCUCAAAAGCACCAUGGGUGGUGCUUUUGAGUUUUUAGCCAUUGGAUGGAGAGAUGUGAGGUUGAGAUGCAUGGUGGUAGGUGGUGUAGUGGGUGGUAGGUGGAAUAGUGUUUGAUC